rnacentral:rRNA from 1 species
AUUGAACGCUGGCGGCAUGCCUUAAACAUGCAAGUCGAACGGUAACAGGUUAAGCUGACGAGUGGCGAACGGGUGAGUAAUAUAUCGGAACGUGCCCAGUCGUGGGGGAUAACGUAGCGAAAGCCACGCUAAUACCGCAUACGAUCUACGGAUGAAAGCGGGGGAUCGCAAGAGCUCGCGCGAUUGGAGCGGGCGAUAUCAGAUUAGGUUGUUGGUGGGGUAAACGAUCACCAAGCCUGCGAUCUGUAGCUGGCCUGAGAGGACGACCAGCCACACUGGAACUGAGACACGGUUCAGACUCCUACGGGAGGCAGCAGGGGGGAAUUGUGGACAAUGGACGCAAGUCUGAUCCAGCAAUGCCGCGUGCAGGGCGAAGGCCUUCGGGUUGUAAACUGCUUUUGUACGGAACGAAACGGUGAGCUCUAAUACAGUUUGCUAAUGACGGUACCGUAAGAAUAAGCACCGGCUAACUACGUGCCAGCCGCCGCCGUAA